AAGAGAAAUUUUGAUUAAUGCUCUAUGUUUUUAUUAACUCGCAUGAGUUAAUAAGCAAAGCUCCGGCGGUAAAAGAUGGGCAUGCGUCCUAUUAGCUUGUAGGUGAGGUAACGGCUCACCUAAGCUCCGAUAGGUAGGGGUCCUGAGAGGGAGAUCCCCCACACUGGUACUGAGACACGGACCAGACUUCUACGGAAGGCAGCAGUAAGGAAUAUUGGACAAUGGAGGCAACUCUGAUCCAGCCAUGCCGCGUGAAGGAAGACGGCCUUAUGGGUUGUAAACUUCUUUUAUACAGGAAGAAACCUUUCCACGAGUGGAAAGCUGACGGUACUGUAAGAAUAAGGAUCGGCUAACUCCGUGCCAGCAGCCGCGGUAAUACGGAGGAUCCAAGCGUUAUCCGGAAUUAUUGGGUUUAAAGGGUCCGCAGGCUGUUUGUUAAGUCAGAGGUGAAAUCCUACCGCUCAACGGUAGAACUGCCUUUGAUACUGGCAAACUUGAGUUAUUGUGAAGUAGUUAGAAUGUGUAGUGUAGCGGUGAAAUGCAUAGAUAUUACACAGAAUACCGAUUGCGAAAGCAGAUUACUAACAAUAUACUGACGCUGAGGGACGAAAGCGUGGGUAGCGAACAGGAUUAGAUACCCUGGUAGUCCACGCCGUAAACGAUGGUCACUAGCUGUUCGAUGUACAUUGGUACAUUGAGUGGCUAAGCGAAAGUGAUAAGUGACCCACCUGGGGAGUACGCUCGC
rnacentral:rRNA from 1 species